rnacentral:lncRNA from 1 species
CUUGUCUAGCUCCGGUCAGUAUACUAUUAAGUUUGCUUAUGAAUUUCUAUCUGCUGAGGAGAGACAAGAGACUCAUCCUAUUUGGAAGAUUAUCUCGCGUUGGCCAGGUCCACAAAAGGAUUAGAAGCUUUCUUUGGCUGCUGACUCAUGACAGGCUGUUGACAAAUGAGGUAAGGGGAAGGAGGCAUCUAACGGAGGUGAGUUGCUCUCUCUGUGGAUAUAGGAUUGAAUCGGCUCUAUAUCUUUUUCGUGAGUUUUUUUUUUUUUUUUUUUUUUUUUUUUUUUUUUUUUUUUUUUUUUUUUAAAAAAAAUAUGUUUUUUUUAUGGUGUUCUACUGUCCUAGUGCAAAUCAGCAGGGCUUCCUUAAUAUUUCUUCAUCGAUUCUUGAUUGGAUUAGUUGGAAUUUUAGACGUAAGGAUUGGUAUUUUAAGGAUGAGUAUUGGGUUUCUUUUUUAGGCUCCAUCUGCUGGUACGUCUAGAAGUCAAGGAAUCUAAUUGUUUUCAGGGGAAUCCAUAUAUGC